rnacentral:rRNA from 1 species
UGCAAGUCGAGCGAGCUUGCCUAGAUGAUUUUAGUGCUUGCACUAAAUGAAACUAGAUACAAGCGAGCGGCGGACGGGUGAGUAACACGUGGGUAACCUGCCCAAGAGACUGGGAUAACACCUGGAAACAGAUGCUAAUACCGGAUAACAACACUAGACGCAUGUCUAGAGUUUGAAAGAUGGUUCUGCUAUCACUCUUGGAUGGACCUGCGGUGCAUUAGCUAGUUGGUAAGGUAACGGCUUACCAAGGCAAUGAUGCAUAGCCGAGUUGAGAGACUGAUCGGCCACAUUGGGACUGAGACACGGCCCAAACUCCUACGGGAGGCAGCAGUAGGGAAUCUUCCACAAUGGACGAAAGUCUGAUGGAGCAACGCCGCGUGAGUGAAGAAGGGUUUCGGCUCGUAAAGCUCUGUCGGUAGUGAAGAAAGAUAGAGGUAGUAACUGGCCUUUAUUUGACGGUAAUUACUUAGAAAGUCACGGCUAACUACGUG